rnacentral:rRNA from 1 species
CCUACGGGAGGCAGCAGUGAGGAAUAUUGGUCAAUGGGCGCGAGCCUGAACCAGCCAAGUAGCGUGAAGGAUGACUGCCCUACGGGUUGUAAACUUCUUUUAUAAAGGAAUAAAGUGAGGCACGUGUGCCUUUUUGUAUGUACUUUAUGAAUAAGGAUCGGCUAACUCCGUGCCAGCAGCCGCGGUAAUACGGAGGAUGCGAGCGUUAUCCGGAUUUAUUGGGUUUAAAGGGUGCGUAGGCGGGCUGUUAAGUCAGCGGUAAAAGCCCGGGGCUCAACCCCGGCGAGCCGUUGAAACUGGCGGUCUUGAGAUGGCGAGAGGUAUGCGGAAUGCGCAGUGUAGCGGUGAAAUGCUUAGAUAUUGCGCAGAACCCCGAUUGCGAAGGCAGCUUGCUGCAGCGGAACUGACGCUGAUGCUCGAAAGCGCGGGUAUCGAACAGGAUUAGAUACCCUUGUAGUC